UGGAAAGCACAAAUCUGUUUUCCUUUCCAUCUGACUAGAAUCACAGCAUGCUUCUCAUUUUAAAGAUACAUAUUUUCCAAGCAACAUGCUCCUGAUGUCAAUAGUUAACCCCCCCUCCCAUUUGGCCCAUAAACCAAACCUAUCCUCAUCAUCCAAAACCUGCAGAAGAUAUGGGGAUCAGUUCCAACAUUAGCUGUGUUAGUAGAACUAUGUAUUUCUGUCUCCAGCAGGAUGCCUUCCAGGGAGACUGUCAAGGUGCACAACUUCAAGCAUGGUCCUUCCAAAUAGAAGACAAAAUGAAGAAGAAGAAGAAGAAGGAGAAGCAAAAGGAGGAGGAGGAGGAGAAGAAAAAGGAGAGGAAGAAAAUGAAGGAAAGGAAGAAGCAGCAAAGAAAGUUUUUGACUUUCAAGAGAUAAUAACUUCUAAGUCCCCCAAAUUUUAAAUCACAACACAAACAUCUGUUCUAACUCUUCCCCUGUCUGUUUAACAAAGUGAAUCAAAUUUUAAAUUCAUAUAUUUUCCCAAAAAAUAUAAAGCAUAGUUAAAUUAGGAGAGUAUUCUCCUCAGAACAGUAAUUUAGAAUAAAUUGAUAUUGUAUGAAUUUCA